GAUAAACGCUGGCGGCGUGCCUCAUGCAUGCAAGUCGAACGAAGCCAAGAUUUCGGUCUGAAGCUUAGUGGCGGACGGGUGAGUAACACGUACGUGAUCUGUCCAGAAGUGGGGAAUGACCAGCCGAAAGGUUGUCUAAUACCGCAUGUGGUCACCCCUUGGAAGGGGAUGACGAAAGCCGAAAGGCGCUUUUGGAGGAGCGUGCGGCCGAUUAGCUGGUUGGUGUGGUAACGGCGCACCAAGGCGAUGAUCGGUAGCUGGUCUGAGAGGAUGGUCAGCCACACUGGGACUGAGACACGGCCCAGACUCCUACGGGAGGCAGCAGCAGGGAAUUUUGGACAAUGGGCGAAAGCCUGAUCCAGCAAUGCCGCGUGUGUGAAGAAGGCCUUCGGGUUGUAAAGCACUUUUGUCCGGAAAGAAAUGGCUCUGGUUAAUACCUGGGGUCGAUGACGGUACCGGAAGAAUAAGGACCGGCUAACUACGUGCCAGCCGCCGCCGUAACAC
rnacentral:rRNA from 1 species